rnacentral:rRNA from 1 species
AGAGCGAACGCUGGCGGCAUGCUUAACACAUGCAAGUCGCACGGUUUGGGGCUUCGGCUCCGGGCAGUGGCGGACGGGUGAGUAACGCGUAGGGAUCUAUCCAAGGGUGGGGGACAACCGCGGGAAACUGCGGCUAAUACCGCAUGACGACUUUGACUGAGAGGUUGGGGUCCAAAGCUUUCACGAGCGCCUAUGGAGGAGCCUGCGUCCGAUUAGCUUGUUGGUGGGGUAAUGGCCUACCAAGGCGACGAUCGGUAGCUGGUCUGAGAGGACGAUCAGCCACAUUGGGACUGAGACACGGCCCAAACUCCUACGGGAGGCAGCAGUGGGGAAUAUUGGACAAUGGGCGCAAGCCUGAUCCAGCAAUGCCGCGUGGGUGAAGAAGGUCUUCGGAUUGUAAACGCCCUUUCGGACGGGGACGAUGAUGACGGUACCCGUAGAAGAACGCCCGGCUAACUUCGUGCCAGCAGCCGCGGUAA